UACAGAGGUCUCAAGCGUUGUUCGGAUUCAUUGGGCGUAAAGGGUGCGUAGGCGGCGCGGUAAGUCAGGUGUGAAAUUUCGGAGCUUAACUCCGAAACUGCAUUUGAUACUGCGGUGCUUGAGGACUGGAGAGGAGACUGGAAUUCACGGUGUAGCAGUGAAAUGCGUAGAUAUCGUGAGGAAGACCAGUGGCGAAGGCGGGUCUCUGGGCCGAUACUGACGCUGAGGAGCGAAAGCGUGGGGAGCGAACG
rnacentral:rRNA from 1 species